AUACGGAGGGUGCAAGCGUUACUGGGAAUCACUGGGCGUAAAGCGCGCGCAGGCGGUUUGAUAAGUUGGAUGUGAAAUCCUAUGGCUCAACCAUAGAACUGCAUCCAAAACUGUCAAACUAGAGUCUGGGAGAGGAAGAUGGAAUUAGUUGUGUAGGGGUAAAAUCCGUAGAGAUAACUAGGAAUACCAAAAGCGAAGGCGAUCUUCUGGAACAGUACUGACGCUGAGGCGCGAAAGCGUGGGGAGCAAACAGGAUUAGAAACCCGAGUAGUCC
rnacentral:rRNA from 1 species